rnacentral:lncRNA from 1 species
GCUUUUUUUCUUCUCAGGCAGUUAAUAUAUAGUGUAACUUCGUUCAAUAACAGGCGCUAUCAAUCAAAUUUUCAGUAUUAAAGUGAAACACAUAUAUAUUUAUUUCGAUCUAAACCAUGACAAUCUUGACCAAAACCAUGACGAAUUUCUAGACUCUUAACCGAACCAUGUCAAUCGCUUAACCAAACCAUAGCAAUUCCGAUAUCUUGCUUAUUCUGCGUUAAUUUCGUGAAACAACAAUUCCAAUAUAGAUCGUUUGACCUCCAAUACAGAUUCAAGCAUCUUAUUUGCUUUUUAUCUGCUCGUGUGAAUAGAACUGAGGCAAUAGUUUAGGGAAGCAACAUAAAUUAACCAUGUCAAACUUAUCCAAACUAUGACAAAAUCACUGUACUAAACGCUCCUCGAUAUGACGACCUUACUACCCGUGA